GCUGAGCAGACGACAAGAAAAAUCACGUUGUUGUUUAUUAGGUAUAUGGUGACUAUAUAGUUCGUGCUUUCGUAAAAGCAGCGUAUUUUGUGUAAUGCAUCGAGGAAUGGAUAAACUACUAUGGACAAGUCCGGUGAAGAAGGGGGGAGAGAAAGCGAGGGCCUGAAAGAGAAAGAGAGAGCACUUGGCAUCCCGAUUUGCAUAAUCUGCCCUAAGGACUAAUCGUGAUGAAGUACCACUUCCGCCCAAAGCCCGCUUGUGUAAAUAUGGUGAUUGAUAUUAUAUGAGUUGAUGUACGCAGCUCUAACCUCGAUAUCCUCCUCGAGCGUGCCCGGAGGCAUUUUCCCUCAGAAGGAGGAGGAGAAGAAGGGGCAUCGAGGGGCAUACUCUGUGUCUGUGAAUACAUAAAUAUUGUGCUCGGUGGAAGUCCCCCAACAACGUGACUGGAAUGCAUUAAACGACUCCUCCUUACCGGGAAUUUAAGGGAGAGUACACGACUCGUCGACAAGUUGUCUCGAGAAAUUUUGAACGAGAUGACAUCGGGGAGACUUUCAAGGGUCAAGAUGACCUCCGGGAAACUUUGACUGGAGGAUGUGACCUCCAGGUAGGUAUCUGGGCCUAUUACACUGCGAGCUACUUUGGUUUUCUCGCAACCAAAGAACUCGUGCAUAAAUCCACACGUGUCAAAAAGGAUAACUCGUGGAGACGCUCGCUAGAAAUUAUGUAUUGAAGAAACUGUUAGCUCCUCUAAGAAGCGCUUGUUCAAAGGACACGUAAUCAACGCCUCCGCUAAUAAGGCCAUAAAUACUGAUUAAAGGGGACCUGGAGUUCGGGGUUCUUUUCCAACGAGGAAAAGAAAAUAGGAUGAAUUGUGAAAAAUGAUCAGGAGAUGCCACCAGACCCACAGCCCACCUCCAUCACCAAACAUUCAGAACCGUUCCGGAUGUCACCACCUUAACUUCAAGCAAAUGGGAAUGGACAUAAACUCUCACUAGUCGUGAUGAUGGAUAAAUAAUACUAGUUGACCGAUUUACUGAGAAAACAGCGUAGCUCAACGAAAUAAGAAUCAUCCAAUGAAGAGAACAGAAGAAUAAAUGGAAAUUUCUUUAUGCGUCUGAGGUGAAGUUAAUGCUGUGGUUCCUAACCCUCAGAGAGUGACUGAUCAGAUGUUUAAACUAAGGGUAUCCCAAAAUAUUGUUUUUAGUGGAAAAGGACUUUGGCAAAUGGGGGAAACUAUUAUCGCUACCUUUUAGUACUUCUCUUCGUCUCCAACUCACGUCAAGCAGUUCCACUGAAAUGGCUGACAGAGGAAACAUCAGUCAACCGAAUUUACACAAAUGUGAACAAGAAAGAAAUACCUGAUGAUCCAGAUGGCACAUGUAUUAUAAUGAGACUACGUCCUGCCUUGACACACAAAAAGAAGGGUGGACUUUAAACAUUACGUAAAGGUUUGUGGAAUAAGAAAAACUCUUAGUAGUGCUACUAUUUUUCAUUUUCAGCAAACCGUGUGAAUUUCUGGAGGAUUCCUUUCUUAAGUACUUGUGUGAAUUAAAACUUAUUUUUUAACUUAUUUAUAUUUACAAAUGCAUUACAAC